rnacentral:rRNA from 1 species
GCAUAAUCAAUUGUUUUUUAAUUGGGGACUGGAAUGAAUGGGGAUGACUGAAAAGGAAGUUUUAAUUGAUAAAUUUGAAUUUAAAUUAAAAGUAAAAAUGCUUUUGUUAUUCUUUGGGACGAGAAGACCCUAGAAGCUUUUAAAGUUUGGAUUUUUGGGUUGGGGCAAUUAAUGAAGAUGAAGAUUUUUGUUGUGUAAAAAGAUAUUUAAUUUAAGUUACUCUAGGGAUAACAGCGUUAUUUAGUUCAUAAGUUCUUAUUAGUAACUAGGUUUGCGACCUCGAUGUUGAAUUAAUA